rnacentral:rRNA from 1 species
UAGGGAAUCUUCCGCAAUGGACGAAAGUCCGACGGAGCAACGCCGCGUGAGUGAUGAAGGCUUUCGGGUCGUAAAACUCUGUUGUUAGGGAAGAACAAGUGCUAGUUGAAUAAGCUGGCACCUUGACGGUACCUAACCAGAAAGCCACGGCUAACUACGUGCCAGCAGCCGCGGUAAUACGUAGGUGGCAAGCGUUAUCCGGAAUUAUUGGGCGUAAAGCGCGCGCAGGUGGUUUCUUAAGUCUGAUGUGAAAGCCCACGGCUCAACCGUGGAGGGUCAUUGGAAACUGGGAGACUUGAGUGCAGAAGAGGAAAGUGGAAUUCCAUGUGUAGCGGUGAAAUGCGUAGAGAUAUGGAGGAACACCAGUGGCGAAGGCGACUUUCUGGUCUGUAACUGACACUGAGGCGCGAAAGCGUGGGGAGCAAACAGGAUUAGAUACCCUGGUAGUCCACGCCGUAAACGAUGAGUGCUAAGUGUUAGAGGGUUUCCGCCCUUUAGUG